CGCGGGGCCUCUGUGGCACUCAGGGCCUCUGUUGGACGGCGCGAAGUUCCCUGUGAGACCUCCCCUCCCCUCCCCUCCCCAGGGUACCUCAGUGCCCCACCCCCAGGCCCCCUUUCUGACCCUCGUGGUUUUCUGUCCCCGCCCCGUCCCCAGUCCCCCAGUCAUGAGCCCUAGGGUCCCCUGUCUGUGCGCCCGCCCCCUCAUCCCGUCUCCCUUUCUGCCCCCUGCAAUACACUGCCCCCCCCCCCCACGAGUCUUCCUGUUCUGACUUGGAGAGUCUCCCUACCCCCCAUUCCCCAUUCUGACCACUGAAAUGCCCUGUCGCCCCCGGUCCCCGUAGUCUGACCCUUAGAGGCCCCCCAUCCUGAUCGCUAGUGUCCUCUGUCCCUCCGUGUGCCCCCCAUCCUGAUCGCUAGUGUCCUCUGUCCCUCCGUGUGUCCCCCCAGUGCCUCCGCACUGACUCCUUUCUCCCUCCCACCACUCUCUCGAUCUGACCCCUAGGGUGCCCCUCCUCCCCUCCACGGUCCCCUGUCCCCUUCCCCCCCCUCCGAUGCCUGAGAUAAUGAAGUGGACUACUAUGGAAAAAGGCAUCGUUACUUGCGAGAACGUGCCGCGGUGGAAAUGUUACAUGACCCCACGUUUAUUCCUCUAAAUUCUGAUCCCCAUUCAAAUUCCAAUCCAAACCGAGACCGUCAUCCCGAGAGAGUCAGGUGUACACCGGAUAUGUGGUGUAUAUUCACAAGAUCUGCCCCCGCCAUUUUGAAAGUAACUGAAAGUGACUGGAUGGAAUGGAGAGUAAUCGAGAAGAUGUGAUGGAGGAACUGUCUACUGUGCUUCAUCGUGACGAACCCCAUGAACCCGUGGUGAUAUGAGACACAGCUGAUGAGGAUCAGGAUUAUCAAAACAGCCUACUGGAGGGGCUGAUCAAAUUGGUUUCCUCCCAGCCUGCAUCAUCCGGUAUCUCAGCUAUGAAGAGAAGACGUGCUCCAGCUCGAGCAAGUGACAACAGUAAGACUAUGUUGCGUAUUGCCUUGUGGAAUUACCUGCGUCAGCAUGGGGAAAAUGUGAAGAAGUGGCAUAAAAAACCCACUCCUGCACUGUGAGCACAGGUAAAAGAACUACAAGACAGAUCAACCACCACGGCGAUCUCUUCCAAAAAGGUGACCGCUCCAGUUGCUGUGGGACAGGAUUAUUGCCUUAUAUUGUGUUAUCUUGCAUUCCGAAAUUAUAUUUGGUAAAUUAGCUUUCCUC
ensembl:lncRNA